UUAUGAAUAAUAACUACCUUAUUUAAUAUUUAAUUUUCGCAGCUAUAUUAUUCUAAAAUUACAUUUCAUAACUACCUAACUAUAUUUCAAUUACUGUGUUUCUUCAUCUCCUAAAUAAACGGUCCAUUAGCUAUUCUAUCCCUAAAUACACGGUCCAUGAGAUCUCACCCCUCUCUUUAUCUCUCUCACCCUUCUCUUUCUCUCUCUCUGCUACCUAUCUCACUCUCAGAUCUGUUUUAACAGAGGGAGUAUUAUAAACAGCUUAUUUGGCAUUUGAUAUGCAGAAAUUAAAGUUCAGCUCCUUUUGAAGGGCAAUCCGUUUCUUCAUUGUUGUUACAAAUCGUUCAAAGGGUUUUUAUUUUUUUUUUCUUUUCUUUUUUUAAUGCUUCCGCCUGAGCAUUGAAUGCUGCCGGUGGAGUUGGUGGAAGUGGUGUUGGUGCCUAGUGAGUAUAAAUGGUGGCUUGAAAGAGGCGAUGAUGAUUUUGUAAAAUAUUGCUAAUUCCCUUCUCUCACUGAUAACGGCGCUAUUCUACUGCCCCUUCGGUAUGAAUACAACGCAUACUCCACCUCCGAUGAGAGUUGUGGAGCUUCAUGCCCACCAAUUGUUUGAUAAAAUAUUUCAGUAUAUUUCAAUAUAUUUCAGUGUACUGUUUCAGUAUUUUCUGAUAUAUUUCAUUGUAUUCCAUUGUAUAGACGCAUACUACAAUUUUAUAUUUCUUAAACAAUCAACCAUAUUUCAUUGUAUUCCAGUGUAUAUUUUUCUGUAUGUGGAAGUAUUUCUAAAAGUUUGGAAUGGAGUAAUUUGGAGAGAGAAACGUGGUUGUCGUGAUUGUUGUUGGUGGUGGAGGAAGUGGCAACAAGAAAAGCAGUGGAGGAUCUCCAGCCAACGGCCGAAGCUCAGCCAUAACAAUUCGUCUGUUAAAUCUCCAUGGAUGGGCCAAAAGAAGAGGAAAAUCCUUCUUAUGUUUGCUGAUCAUGUGGUGUUGUUUAUCUUAUGAGUGAUGAAGAAUAGUAUUGAUUAUAUCAAUAUGAUAUUCUAGCAUCGUCUAGGAGCAAGAGAAUAGGUUAUUGGUGUAGAAACACCAUUGAUGAGAGUUGUGGAGCUUCAUGCCCACCAAGUGUUUGAUAAAAUGUUUCAGUAUAUUUCAGUGUAUUUCUGUGUAUUAACAAACAAUAUAUUUAAUUUCAAAGAUAUUUCAGUG